GAUGAAGAACGUAGCGAAAUGCGAUAAGUAAUGUGAAUUGCAGAAUUCAGUGAAUCAUCGAAUCUUUGAACGCACAUUGCGCCCGCCAGUAUUCUGGCGGGCAUGCCUGUCCGAGCGUCAUUUCAACCCUCGAACCCCUCCGGGGGGUCGGCGUUGGGGUCCUCGGGAGCCCCUAAGACGGGAUCCCGGCCCCGAAAUACAGUGGCGGUCUCGCCGCAGCCUCUCCUGCGCAGUAGUUUGCACAACUCGCACCGGGAGCGCGGCGCGUCCACGUCCGUAAAACACCCAACUUCUGAAAUGUUGACCUCGGAUCAGGUAGGAAUACCCGCUGAACUUAAGCAUAUCAAUAAGCGGAGGA
rnacentral:misc_RNA from 1 species